rnacentral:rRNA from 1 species
UUGACAUCCAGCGAAUUCGGUAGAGAUACCUUAGUGCCUUCGGGAACGCUGAGACAGGUGCUGCAUGGCUGUCGCCAGCUCGUGUUGUGAAAUGUUGGGUUAAGUCCCGCAACGAGCGCAACCCUUAUCCUUUGUUGCCAGCGGUCCGGCCGGGAACUCAAAGGAGACUGCCAGUGAUAAACUGGAGGAAGGUGGGGAUGACGUCAAGUCAUCAUGGCCCUUACGAGUAGGGCUACACACGUGCUACAAUGGCGCAUACAAAGAGAAGCGACCUCGCGAGAGCAAGCGGACCUCAUAAAGUGCGUCGUAGUCCGGAUUGGAGUCUGCAACUCGACUCCAUGAAGUCGGAAUCGCUAGUAAUCGUAGAUCAGAAUGCUACGGUGAAUACGUUCCCGGGCCUUGUACACACCGCCCGUCACACCAUGGGAGUGGGUUGCAAAAGAAGUAGGUAGCUUAACCUUCGGGAGGGCGCUUACCACUUUGUGAUUCAUGACUGGGGUGAAGUCGUAACAAGGUAAGCGUACGUGU